rnacentral:rRNA from 1 species
GACGAACGCUGGUGGCGUGCUUAACACAUGCAAGUCGAACGGAAAGGCCCUGCUUUUGUGGGGUGCUCGAGUGGCGAACGGGUGAGUAACACGUGAGUAACCUGCCCUUGACUUUGGGAUAACUUCAGGAAACUGGGGCUAAUACCGGAUAGGAGCUCCUGCUGCAUGGUGGGGGUUGGAAAGUUUCGGCGGUUGGGGAUGGACUCGCGGCUUAUCAGCUUGUUGGUGGGGUAGUGGCUUACCAAGGCUUUGACGGGUAGCCGGCCUGAGAGGGUGACCGGCCACAUUGGGACUGAGAUACGGCCCAGACUCCUACGGGAGGCAGCAGUGGGGAAUAUUGCACAAUGGGCGGAAGCCUGAUGCAGCAACGCCGCGUGCGGGAUGACGGCCUUCGGGUUGUAAACCGCUUUCGCCUGUGACGAAGCGUGAGUGACGGUAAUGGGUAACGAAGCACCGGCUAACUACGUG